AUUGAACGCUGGCGGCAGGCCUAACACAUGCAAGUCGAGCGAGCGGCGGACGGGUGAGUAAUGUCUGGGAACCUGCCUGAUGGAGGGGGAUAACUACUGGAAACGGUAGCUAAUACCGCAUACCAUCAAAUGUGCCCAGAUGUGAUUAGCUCGUAGGUGGGGUAACGGCUCACGUAGGCGACGAUCACUAGCUGGUCUGCGAGGAUGACCAGACACACUGGAACUGAGACACGGUCAAGACUCCUACGGGAGGCAGCGGUGGGGAAUAGUGCAAAAUGGGCGCAAGCCGGAUGCAGCAAUGCCGCGUGUGUGAAGAAGGUCUUCGGGUUGUAAAGCACUUUCAGCGGGGAGGCGUUACCCGCAGAAGAAGCACCGGCUAACUCCGUGCCAGCAGCCGCGGUAAUAC
rnacentral:rRNA from 1 species